rnacentral:rRNA from 1 species
UGCGAGUCAUGGGGCGCCUUGCGCGCACCGGCGGACGGCUCAGUAACACGUCGGUAACCUACCCUCGGGAGGGGGAUAACCCCGGGAAACUGGGGCUAAUCCCCCAUAGGCCUGAGGUACUGGAAGGUCCUCAGGCCGAAAAGGGCUCUGCCCGCCCGAGGAUGGGCCGGCGGCCGAUUAGGUAGUUGGUGGGGUAACGGCCCACCAAGCCGAAGAUCAGUACGGGCCAUGAGAGUGGGAGCCCGGAGAUGGACACUGAGACACGGGUCCAGGCCCUACGGGGCGCAGCAGGCGCGAAACCUCCGCAAUGCGGGCAACCGCGACGGGGGGACCCCCAGUGCCGUGGCAUCGCCACGGCUUUUCCGGAGUGUACAAAGCUCCGGGAAUAAGGGCUGGGCAAGGCCGGUGGCAGCCGCCGCGGUAAUACCGGCGGCCCGAGUGGUGGCCGCUAUUAUUGGGCCUAAAGCGUCCGUAGCCGGGCCCGUAAGUCCCUGGCGAAAUCUCACGGCUCAACCGUGGGGCUUGCUGGGGAUACUGCGGGCCUUGGGACCGGGAGAGGCCGGGGGUACCCCUGGGGUAGGGGUGAAAUCCUGUAAUCCCAGGGGGACCGCCAGUGGCGAAGGCGCCCGGCUGGAACGGGUCCGACGGUGAGGGACGAAGGCCAGGGGAGCGAACCGGAUUAGAUACCCGGGUAGUCCUGGCUGUAAAGGAUGCGGGCUAGGUGUCGGGUGAGCUUCGAGCUCGCCCGGUGCCGAAGGGAAGCCGUUAAGCCCGCCGCCUGGGGAGUACGGCCGCAAGGCUGAAACUUAAAGGAAUUGGCGGGGGAGCACUACAAGGGUGGAGCGUGCGGUUUAA